rnacentral:rRNA from 1 species
GAUGAACGCUGGCGGCGUGCUUAACACAUGCAAGUCGAACGGUGAACACGGAGCUUGCUCUGUGGGAUCAGUGGCGAACGGGUGAGUAACACGUGAGCAACCUGCCCCUGACUCUGGGAUAAGCGCUGGAAACGGCGUCUAAUACUGGAUAUGUGACGUGACCGCAUGGUCUGCGUUUGGAAAGAUUUUUCGGUUGGGGAUGGGCUCGCGGCCUAUCAGCUUGUUGGUGAGGUAAUGGCUCACCAAGGCGUCGACGGGUAGCCGGCCUGAGAGGGUGACCGGCCACACUGGGACUGAGGCACGGCCCAGACUCCUACGGGAGGCAGCAGUGGGGAAUAUUGCACAAUGGGCGCAAGCCUGAUGCAGCAACGCCGCGUGAGGGAUGACGGCCUUCGGGUUGUAAACCUCUUUUAGCAGGGAAGAAGCGAAAGUGACGGUACCUGCAGAAAAAGCGCCGGCUAACUACGUG